rnacentral:rRNA from 1 species
GAUGAACGCUGGCGGCGUGCCUAAUACAUGCAAGUCGAGCGAACGGACGAGAAGCUUGCUUUUCUGAUGUUUGCGGCGGACGGGUGAGUAACACGUGGAUAACCUACCUAUAAGACUGGGAUAACUUCGGGAAACCGGAGCUAAUACCGGAUAAUAUUUUGAACCGCAUGGUUCAAAAGUGAAAGACGGUCUUGCUGUCACUUAUAGAUGGAUCCGCGCUGCAUUAGCUAGUUGGUAAGGUAACGGCUUACCAAGGCAACGAUGCAUAGCCGACCUGAGAGGGUGAUCGGCCACACGGGAACUGAGACACGGUCCAGACUCCUACGGGAGGCAGCAGUAGGGAAUCUUCCGCAAUGGGCGAAAGCCUGACGGAGCAACGCCGCGUGAGUGAUGAAGGUCUUCGGAUCGUAAAACUCUGUUAUUAGGGAAGAACAUAUGUGGAAGUAGCUGUGCACAUCUUGACGGUACCUAAUCAGAAAGCCACGGCUAACUACGUG